rnacentral:rRNA from 1 species
AACGAACGCUGGCGGCAUGCCUAACACAUGCAAGUCGAACGAGAUCUUCGGGUCUAGUGGCGCACGGGUGCGUAACGCGUGGGAAUCUGCCCUUUGGUUCGGAAUAACAGUUGGAAACGACUGCUAAUACCGGAUGAUGACGAAAGUCCAAAGAUUUAAUCGCCAGAGGAUGAGCCCGCGUAGGAUUAGCUAGUUGGUGUGGUAAAGGCGAACCAAGGCGACGAUCCUUAGCUGGUCUGAGAGGAUGGUCAGCCACACUGGGACUGAGACACGGCCCAGACUCCUACGGGAGGCAGCAGUGGGGAAUAUUGGACAAUGGGCGAAAGCCUGAUCCAGCAAUGCCGCGUGAGUGAUGAAGGCCUUAGGGUUGUAAAGCUCUUUUACCCGGGAUGAUAAUGACAGUACCGGGAGAAUAAGCCCCGGCUAACUCCGUGCCAGCAGCCGCCGUAA